CGCACGGGCGAGUAACACGUAUCCAACCUGCCGUCUACUCUUGGCCAGCCUUCUGAAAGGAAGAUUAAUCCAGGAUGGCAUCAUGAGUUCACAUGUCCGCAUGAUUAAAGGUAUUUUCCGGUAGACGAUGGGGAUGCGUUCCAUUAGAUAGUAGGCGGGGUAACGGCCCACCUAGUCAACGAUGGAUAGGGGUUCUGAGAGGAAGGUCCCCCACAUUGGAACUGAGACACGGUCCAA
rnacentral:rRNA from 1 species